rnacentral:tRNA from 1 species
UAGAAUGUGGUGUAUGUGGUAGCACGAAGAAUUUUGAGUUCUUAAGAUUAGGUUCAAAUCCUAUGAUUCUAG